CUCUGUUGCCACCACCAUCUAGAGUGAGACGAGCCACAGUGUUACAGGCUCCAGCCUCCAGCUCCCCCUUCUCCUGGUCCUCUAAGCCGGGAACAGAGUAGCUUGGCUGGAGAUACUGGAGAGCCUAAACUGGCAUGAGGCCUCCUCAGCAUGCACGUGGGGUUACGCACAUGGUUUCUGGACUACAUGUUCCGAUUGGGUGAGAGAAAACCUCUAGGCCUUCUCUGAUUGGACUUUAUUUUCAUACUCUGAUUGGUUGUCCUAAGACUUUCUUUCAUCCAAUCAGAACAUGAUAACAAAGUCCAAUCAGAGUAGGCCUCCGGGCUUUCUCUUAUCCAAUCCUGGAACGUGUAGUCCAGGAAAGGCAUAUUCAUAACCUCAGUACAUAAAUGGUGCUGAAGAAGAGUCAGGCUAUUCCAGGUUCUUCUGUAUCUGCUCACCGAGCUGCUCUGAGCCCGGCUUAGAGGACCAGGACAGACUGGAGGCUGUAGCCUGUGGCACCAUGGCUGGCCUCCCUGCAGUUGGUGGUGACAGAGACUGUAGUGUGGCUGGAGCGGUAGGAAAGGGAAAAUAGUUUUGGGAUAGAUGAAAGGGUAAAGAGGGUGGUUAGUGCCAAAAGGAAAAAAGGAUGGUGAGCUGGAGAAGGCAUUGCAUAAAGAUGGUAAUUUGGCCCUUUGUUUGAGCCCAUCAUCUGGGAGGUGAGUAACGCCUCUGCCCGGCCACCUUGUCUGGGAAGUGGGGAGCCCCUCUGCCCAGCCACCCCAUCUGGGAGGUGAGGAGUGCCUCUGCCUGGCCACCCAAUGUCUGGGAGGUGAGGAGUGCCUCUUCCCGGCUGCCCCAUCUGGGAGGUGAGGAGCGCCUCUGCCCGGCCACCCCCUCUGGGAAGUGAGGAGCGCCUCUGCCCGGCAGCCCUGUCUGGGAAGUGAGGAGCGCCACUGCCUGGCUGCCCCGUCUGGGUUGUGAGGAGCACCUCUGCCUGACCGCCACCCCAUCUGGGAAGUGGGGAGCGCCUUUGCCCAGCUGCCCCGUCUGGGAAGUGAGGAGCACCUUUCUCCUGCUGCCCAUCAUCUGGGAGGUGAGGAGCGCCUCUGCAUGGAUGACACACCAUCUGGGAAGUGAGGAGCGCCUCUGCCCAGCCGCCCCAUCUGGGAAGUGAGGAGUGCUUCUGCCUGGCCGCCCAUUGUCUGGGAGGUGAGGAGCGCCUCUGCCCGGCCACCCUGUCUGGGUUGUGAGGAGCGCCUCUGCCCAGCUCCCACCCUGUCUGGGAAGUGGGGAGCGCCUCUUCCCGGUCGCCCCAUCUGGGAGGUGAGGAGUGCCUCCCUCCAGCUGCCCAUCAUCUGGUAGGUGAGGAGUGCCUCUGAAUGGACGACACACAAUCUGGGAACUGAGGAGCGCCUCUGCCUGGCCGCGCCAUCUGGGAAGUGAAGAGCGCCUCUGCCCGGCCGCCCCAUCUGGGAAGUGAGGAGCGCCUCUGCCUGGCUGCCCAUCAUCUGGGAGGUGAGGAGCACCUCUCCCCAGCCACCCAUUGUCUGGGAGGUGAGGAGUUCCUCUGGCUGGCCGCCCGGUCUGGCAGUUGAGCGCCUCUGCCCGGCCACCCCCUCUGGGAAGUGAAGAGCGCCUCUGCCCAGCCUCCCCAUCUGGGAGGUGAGGAGCGCCUCUGCCCGGCUGCCCCAUCUGGGAGGUGAGGAGCGCCUCUGCCUGACCUCCACCCCAUCUGGGAAUGGGGAGUGGCAUUUCUCGGCCGCCCCAUCUGGGAAGUGAGGAGCACCUUUCUCUGGCUGCCAAUCAUCUGGGAGGUGAGAAGCGCCUCUUCACGGAUGACACACCAUCUGGGAAGUGAGGAGCGCCUCUGCCUGGCUGCCCCAUCUGGGAAGUGAGGAGCACCUCUUCCUGGUCUCCCCGUCUGGGAGGUGAGGAGCGCCGCUGCCCGGCCACCCCAUCUAGGAGGUGAGGAGCGCCUCUGCCCAGCCACCCCAUGUGGGAGGCGAGGAGCGCCUCUGCCUGGCCGCCCAGUCUGGGAGGUGAGGAGCGCCUUUGCCCAGCUGCCCAUCAUCUGGGAGGUGAGGAGCGCCUCUGCCAGCCCGCCCCAUCUGGGAGGUGAGGAGCGCCUCUUCCUGGUCUCCCCGUCUGGGAGGUGAGGAGCGCCUCUGCCCGGCCACCCCAUCUAGGAGGUGAGGAGCGCCUCUUCCUGGUCUCCCCGUCUGGGAGGUGAGGAGCGCCUCUGCCCAGCCACCCCAUCUAGGAGGUGAGGAGUGCCUCUGCCCGGCCACCCCAUGUGGGAGGCGAGGAGCACCUCUGCCUGGCCGCCCAGUCUGGGAGGUGAGGAGCGCCUUUGCCCAGCUGCCCAUCAUCUGGGAGGUGAGGAGUUCCUCUGCCAGGCCGCCUCAUCUGGGAGGUGAGGAGCGCCUCUGCCCAGCCGCCCCGUCUGGGAAGUGGGGAGCACCUCUGCCUGGCCGUGAUGUCUGGGAGGUGAGGAGUGCCUCUGCCUGGCCACCCCGUCUGGGAAAUGAGGAGCACCUCUGCCUGGCUGCCCAUUGUCUGGGAGGUGAGGAGUGCCUCUUCCCAGCCGCCCCAUCUGGGAAAUGAGGAGCACCUCUUGCCUGGUUGCCCCAUCUGGGAAGUGAGGAGCGCCUCUGCCCAGCUGCCCCAUCUGGGAAGUGAGGAGCACCUCUGCCCAGCCGCCCCAUCUGGGAAGUGAGGAGUGCCUCUGCCUGGCUGCCCAUUGUCUGGGAGGUGAGGAGUGCCUCUGAAUGGACGACACACAAUCUGGGAACUGAGGAGCGCCUCUGCCUGGCCGCGCCAUCUGGGAAGUGAAGAGCGCCUCUGCCCGGCCGCCCCAUCUGGGAAGUGAGGAGCGCCUCUGCCUGGCUGCCCAUCAUCUGGGAGGUGAGGAGCACCUCUCCCCAGCCGCCCAUUGUCUGGGAGGUGAGGAGUUCCUCUGGCCGGCCGCCCGGUCUGGCAGUUGAGGAGCGCCUCUGCCCGGCCACCCCCUCUGGGAAGUGAAGAGCGCCUCUGCCCAGCCUCCCCAUCUGGGAGGUGAGGAGCGCCUCUGCCCGGCUGCCCCAUCUGGGAGGUGAGGAGCGCCUCUGCCUGACCUCCACCCCAUCUGGGAAUGGGGAGUGGCAUUUCUCGGCCGCCCCAUCUGGGAAGUGAGGAGCACCUUUCUCUGGCUGCCAAUCAUCUGGGAGGUGAGAAGCGCCUCUUCACGGAUGACACACCAUCUGGGAAGUGAGGAGCGCCUCUGCCUGGCCGUCCCAUCUGGGAAGUGAGGAGCACCUCUUCCUGGUCUCCCCGUCUGGGAGGUGAGGAGCGCCUCUGCCCGGCCACCCCAUCUAGGAGGUGAGGAGCGCCUCUGCCCGGCCACCCCAUGUGGGAGGCGAGGAGCACCUCUGCCUGGCCGCCCAGUCUGGGAGGUGAGGAGCGCCUUUGCCCAGCUGCCCAUCAUCUGGGAGGUGAGGAGCGCCUCUGCCAGGCCGCCUCAUCUGGGAGGUGAGGAGCGCCUCUGCCCAGCCGCCCCGUCUGGGAAGUGGGGAGCACCUCUGCCUGGCCGCGACGUCUGGGAGGUGAGGAGUGCCUCUGCCUGGCCACCCCGUCUGGGAAAUGAGGAGCACCUCUGCCUGGCUGCCCAUUGUCUGGGAGGUGAGGAGCCCCUCUGCCUGGCUGCCCCCCUUGGUAGGUGAGGAGCACCUCUGCCCAGCCGCCCCGUCUGGGAGGUGAGGAGUGCCUCUGCCCGGCCGCCCAUCGUCUGGGAUGUGAGGAGUGCCUCUGCCUGGCUGCCCUUCAUCUGGUAGGUGAGGAGUGCCUCUUCCCAGCCGCCCCAUCUGGGAAAUGAGGAGCACCUCUUGCCUGGUUGCCCCAUCUGGGAAGUGAGGAGCGCCUCUGCCCAGCCGCCCCAUCUGGGAAGUAAGGAGCACCUCUGCCUGGCCGUUGUGCAAUCUUCCAAGUGUGAAGUGACAGCCUUUCUGCAGGUGUACCCAACAGCUUCGAAGAGACAGCCACCAUCGGGAACGGACCAUGAUGAUGAUGGCAGUUUUGUCAAAAAGAAAAGAGGGAAAUGUGGGGAAAAGGAAGAGAGAUCAGAUUGUUACUGUGUCUGUGUAGAAAGAAGUAGACAUAGGAGACUCCAUUUUCUUCUGUACUAAGAGAAAUUCUUCUGCCUUGGGAUGCUGUUAAUCUAUAACCUUACCCCCAACCCCGUGCUCUCUGAAACAUGUGCUGUGUCAACUCAGGGUUAAAUGGAUUAAGGGCGGUGCAAGAUGGGCUUUGUUAAACAGAUGCUUGAAGGCAGCAUGCUCAUUAAGAGUCAUCACCACUCCCUAAUCUCAAGUACCCAGGGACACAAACACUAUGGAAGGCUGCAGGGACCUCUGCCUAGGAAAACCAGAGACCUUUGUUCACGUGUUUAUCUGCUGACCUUCUCUCCACUAUUAUCCUAUGACCCUGCCACAUCCCCCUCUCCAAGAAACACCCAAGAAUGAUCAAUAAAUAAUAAUAAAAAAAGCAUAGUGCAUCACCCCAAGGGUAGAGCGUGUGUGUGUGUGUGUGUGUGUGUGUGUGUGUGUGUGUGUGUGUGUGUUCGUGGAUAGUUUCUCCUAGCUAACCAUAAGACAGGAACUUGGAGUCUUGGGACAGGAAGAGAGAAAAGAGGGGAGAAAGUAUCCUGAACCAAGUAUAGAGUUGUCAAUCUCUUAACUAGAAGGUUCAAUAGUUGGGAUUUAUUUCCACAAAACAAGGAAAUUUGUGUUUUUAUAAUUAUAAAAAAGUGUUCCUGUCUGUCUAGGCUUGUACCUAAAUGGGAGACUAUAAACUCUAUUGUCCAGUAUUUUACUGAAAACUAUGUAUGACACUCUGCAGUCCAUUGUGACAUUCCUACAGCCAAGAAAAAUAACUGAAAACACUGAACGUGUCAGGGAUUCAUGAUAAGGAUUCAUUUCUGGAGCAAAGACUGGUCUUGUGAAGAAAGGACCUGUCCCCUUCUCAUGCAUGGGAUUCUACCCCCAUCCCACACACCAGAAGCACUGCCAGGACAUCUCUGCACUAUGCUGUGAGGUGGGUGGUUUAGGGUACCAUUGUUAUAUGACUUUUAUCAUUUUAGUUCUGUACAUCCUAUCUUGGGAAGUAAAUUUUUGGUUAUUUCUUUUCAUUUUACCUUUUCUUCUUGUUUAACUUUAAAAUGGAAAAAGAAGCAAAUGUUCACAAUAAACUUUACUGUUUAAUCUGAAAAAAAAAAGAAAAACAUUGCAGAAUGAUAGCCACAGUUUUAAAAAUAAGCACAUUAUAAAGAUAAUAAAAUUGUAAUAAAACUAAUUAUAAUGAACAUAUAAAAGAAGUCUUCCUGUGGAUAUUAGUAUCAUAAAACAAUUUAUAUUAUUUAACCAGUUAUAGACUCACUGUUGGCAUGUUACAUUUAACACACACUUGACUUUUGAUUUGAAAUCAUUUCCUCAUUAAAUCCUGUAUCUCACCUUUGAGAUUAAUGUGAUAAUGUGAUGUAGCCUCUAUUGAUGCCUCAGAGAGUGAGAAUGUGAUGUAACCUUUAGUGAAGCCUCACACUGUUUAUUAAGAUCCGCCAAUUUUUUUUGAAGUUGUCUCACAAUGACCUGAAAAGACAUGUUUUUGAUUUUGUGAAUCAUCUUAUCAAAUUAACAAUAUUUACUUUCAAAAAGAUCCCCAAAUAUAUUGAUUCAGUUUAUUUUCUUCAUUUGUGCACACUGCUGCUUGUUAGUGAAUUUACUUAAGGACACAAGAAGGUGUAAUCUUUCUGCCAAAUUGGUACUGUCUUACUAGACACAAGAUUCAUCUCACUGGUAAUUUCUUCCCUUAAUGAAUCUGUAAUUCUUCACAACUUACUGAAGUCUCAAAAAAAAAAAAAAGGCAGGACUAGUGGUGGUAAAUUCUAAACAGUGGAAUUCUUUCCUUCUUCUGUAUUAGAAGCACAAAUCAACAUCAAAGUUCCUCACAUAUUCAAUCACCUGCUGAAAUUUUUCCAAUAGAUUUUUAUCUCAGAAUAAAAGUAAUUUUAUUUCAAACUUUACAGGCCCUUGGUAACCUGGUCUCCACAUCCCUCCUGACCUCAGCUCCUAUGUUUCUCUCCUCUACUCACUUCUUUUGUACUAUACAUGAACCUUGCCACCCCUUAUGAAUUGAAAAAUGGGGAUCCAAUGCAAAGCUAAUAAAUCACAGAUAGCUACAAUCAUCUUUCUGUGGGACAAAGUUCUAUCCACAUGAUAGUUUUUGAGCCUUGAAAUAGAAAUUAUGAGCAAAUGAUUUGUAACAAUAUUCAAAAUAAAUUAUGAAUACCAGUGGGGUGAUUAAAUCAAAUUUGAUAUUGCUAAAAUCCACUACAUUUGUCCUAAGGUAUUAUUUAACAAAACACAGAUGCCUUUAAAAAAUUGAGAGGUUUUAACAAUACAUAAUUUCAGAUUCAAAUAUGUUCAGAUUAAGUCAAAUUGACAUAAAUGAAAAUAAAAUUCUACCAAAUAAAAUAUAUAAAAAGCUACUUAAAAAGUGUUAUUACAAGAUGCAGAAAUGUACACUUCAAAAUAUACUUCAAAUACACUUCUGUUCCUCUGGAAAAUUUAGAAUUAACUGUCAAUGUAAAUUGCUGAACUGAAUCUUAAUUUCAAAAUACUAAUUGCUGAUAUGGGCAUUCCCAUUUUUCUGCUUCAUUGUAGUCAAAAAAUGUGGCCACAAAGAGACAUUAAAACCUUUAUUUCAG
rnacentral:lncRNA from 1 species